rnacentral:pre_miRNA from 1 species
AAUGGUUAAAUAUGUAUUUCAUCCUUGCAAUUAGGGGUCGUUUAAAAAUUGGUCCUUAUAUUUGUUAAUCCUGACAAUUUACCCCUAAUUGCAAGAAUGAAAUACAUAUUUAAGUCUAUA